rnacentral:rRNA from 1 species
GACGAACGCUGGCGGCGUGCCUAAUACAUGCAAGUCGAGCGCAGGAAAUCGACGGAACCCUUCGGGGGGAAGUCGACGGAAUGAGCGGCGGACGGGUGAGUAACACGUAAAGAACCUGCCCUCAGGUCUGGGAUAACCACGAGAAAUCGGGGCUAAUACCGGAUGGGUCAUCGGACCGCAUGGUCCGAGGAUGAAAGGCGCUUCGGCGUCGCCUGGGGAUGGCUUUGCGGUGCAUUAGCUAGUUGGUGGGGUAAUGGCCCACCAAGGCGACGAUGCAUAGCCGACCUGAGAGGGUGAUCGGCCACGCUGGGACUGAGACACGGCCCAGACUCCUACGGGAGGCAGCAGUAGGGAAUCUUCCACAAUGGACGAAAGUCUGAUGGAGCAACGCCGCGUGAACGAUGAAGGCUUUCGGGUCGUAAAGUUCUGUUGUAAGGGAAGAACAAGUGCCGCAGGCAAUGGCGGCACCUUGACGGUACCUUGCGAGAAAGCCACGGCUAACUACGUGCCAGCCGCCGCAGUAA